rnacentral:rRNA from 1 species
CCUACGGGUGGCUGCAGUGGGGAAUCUUCCGCAAUGGGCGCAAGCCUGACGGAGCAAUGCCGCGUGAACGAAGAAGGUCUUCGGAUUGUAAAGUUCUGUCCUUAUCGAAGAGAGGGCAUAGAGUGAAACAUGAUUUACUAGGCCGGUAGAUGAGGAGGAAGCCCCGGCUAACUACGUGCCCGCAGCCGGGGUAAUACGUAGGGGGCGAGCGUUGUCCGGAAUUACUGGGCGUAAAGGGCGCGUAGGCGGUAUUAUAAGUCAGUGGUGAAAGGUGGGGGCUCAACCCCUAAAGUGCAACUGAAACUGUAUAACUUGAGUGUGAGAGAGGAAAGCGGAAUUCCUAGUGUAGCGGUGAAAUGCGUAGAUAUUAGGAGGAACACCAGUGGCGAAGGCGGCUUUCUGGCUCAUAACUGACGCUGAGGCGCGAAAGCGUGGGUAGCAAACAGGAUUAGAUACCCGGGUAGUC